GGAACCCAGGCUGGGGCCAAACUGGCCCGCAGGAGCCCUGGGCCAGAAGAGGCCGUGGAAGGCACAGUAAGGGGUAGGACCUGCAGGCCAGAGGACCUCAGGCAUAGAGAAUUUCCCAGAGUAGGCCUUAACAGAGCGGCUAAGCGUGAAGGAGAGUGUUUCUUACGAGGGCACGGCCUAAGCAAAGCCAUGGGGGAGUGAGACACAAGGUGGGAUGCAGGGACAAGCCACAGAGACACAGCUGCCAGGCAGGACAGGGCAGGGCCCAUGGGGGGCUACAGGGAACCAGACAGUGUCAGCAGGGAGGGGCUCACAAGCCCCAGCUUCAGCAAGCACACCUGCAUCUUUCUCAUGGCAGGCUGGGUCCUGACCACAUGGCCUUUUCUGUAGCUUCUCCUUCCUCCCAAGGGACCCCGUCUCUCCCUCCAGCCCUGCCAGCCCUGCUCCCAUCGCCCCAGCCUGGUCCAGCUGCUCAGCUGUACUCCAGGCCAUGUCUGCAAGUCAUUAGCAGACAGUGGGGGCCUCCUGCCGUCUGCACCCAGCCAGGAAAGCAAACAGAGCUGGGGGUGGGGGGCAUGAAAGGCCAGUCUUGGCCCCGAGGAAACAGCUGGGAAAGGCAAAGGGGCAGGGGCUGUGAGACCCAGGCUUUGGGCAGGGAACUGAGAAGACGUGCAGAUUUGGGGGCUGUGGUAUCUUUGCAGAGGAGAAAGGGACCUGAACUGGGCUCAGCAGGGAAGUGAUAGGAGGCAGCAGUGGCAAAGGAGCAUGUGGGUCACCGUGGCCACAGCUCUGUCCUCACAGAGGAGGACACGGGGGCUCAGAGAGGUGAAAGGGCUCCUCGGGAGGUCUUGAUGGGGAAGACGCAUCCCCCGGGCUUUCUGGGACCCUCCUCUGGCCAUUAUGGUAACACGGGGGCACUGGGAGAGGUGACCCACCAAGGCUGGAGUGGAGAGGCGGCUGCGGAAGCAGCGCCCCGUUGAAGACGAGGAGGAAUGCGGAGGCCUGGCCCAGGGUGGGUGGAGGCUGGAUCCUCUCACUGCUCUGAGAAACAGCUGCUGGGACUCCCUUAUUACCCAAGAAAUCUGACGGUUCUGGUUGUCAGACUGAGCUCGUGUCUACAGGAAUAAGCAGAGAUGGAGUGGGAGUCAGGCUCUGGUGUUGCUUGGGGGGCCAGUCGAGGCAGGUGCCUUGUACGCACGGCUUACUGAAUUGUCACCACCACCUGGGGUAGCAUUAACCCAUUUUACAGAUAAGAGGUUGUGGCUCAGAAACAAAGUCACCUACGCAAGGUCACAGUCUGAGGACUGCAGCCUCCUGGGCCCUGAGGCUCCCUCAGUCCUGGAUAAACGGGAGGGGCAGCAGUCAGGUGUGUUCCUGAGAAUGAGCAGGAAGGGGCCGGGCCAGCCUGUCGGGCUUCACCCUGUAGGAAGCCCACUCCCAUCCAUCUCCCUCCCCGCCGGUACAUUCUUGGGGUAGGUAUCUUGUUCCCGGCCCUGGAGGUGGACCUUUCCUGGCGCCUUCUUAUUUAAGGUCAGGGGCACGGAAGGCAGGCUUGCAGUUGGAAGGACCAGGUGCUGGGACUCUGCUGAACAAAGUUUCUUUUCUUCCUCCAGGAAAAGAAUGAGGGAGCGAGGGCCAGACCAUGGACUCCCCACCAGAGAAGGAAGGGCUUGGCCCAGACAGCGGCUCCACCGGAAGAAAGCAAGGGGUUCUCAGACCAGGGGCCUUCUCUGUUCCAGGGCCUACAAGUUCCAAGUUUGAACUGGUCUCUGUGUUCAUCUUCAAAAUUUUGGCAAGAACUGGCUUCCGGUUUUCAGGGUGGGAAGCUUCCCGCAUGUCACCAAGACGGCUCCAAGGCUCUCCAAGCCACCUCCCCGGCUCACAGGUACCACCCUGAGGACAGGAACAUCAUGCUGCCAUUAAAAAAUAUGCAAUAAAAAAGCAAUUUAAAAAGACUUGGCAGCCCACCCGCCCCCACAGGUCCAGGGUUUGAGGCUCCACCGAGAGUCAUCGGGCUUGGUCGGAGCCAGCUGCCCCCUGACCCCCGACUCUACCUUCCUUCCCAGCCCCACGCAUUCCUCAGUCGACAUGUGCUUCCUGAGCACCCACUGUGGGCCCGGCACGGUCUAGAAUCUCGGACUACAGCAGUGGACAGAACGGACAAAACGUCCCACGCUCACAGUGCUCAGGCUUCAGCGAGGGGGGCAGACAUAAACACACACCGUGCACCGAGGGCGAGGGAAGGAGGGAGGUGAGGACCCGGGGUUGGGGCUGCAGGAUGUACAGUGUUCAGCGCUUGGGGAAAGUCUCACUGAGAAGGUAACACGGGAGCAAAGACCUGAAGCAGUGACGGAGCAGACUGCAGGAUCCCGGGGGCGGACAGAGAGCUCCAGGCCGAGGGGGGAAAGGCCUGGCAUGGAGCAGAAACACGCAGGGGCCAGCCGUUCUGUGCAGCUGCAGUGAAGACACUGAACAGGAGAGUGGCCGGGGAGUGGGAGAGGGGGCACUGAGCUUGCAGCUCCGAGCAGAGGCCGGACAACACCUGGAGUCCAAGUCUGCAUGUGGAGAACACACUUGGAGUGGGUUGAAUUACGACCCUCUCACCCCGCAAAAAAAGAUGUGUCUACAUCUCAGAACCUGUGAACGUGACCUUAUUUGAAAAAAGAGUCCGUGCAGGUGUAGUUAAUUUAAUAAUCUCAAGAUGAGAGCAUCCUGGAUUAUCCAGGUAGACCCUAAAUGCAAGCAUGUGUCCUUAGAGGAGACACAGAGGAGAGACACAGGGAGAAGAGGAGACCCUCACGGACCACCAAGGUAAUGAUGUAAGUUAUGCAUCCACAAGUCAAGGAACACCUGGAGCUGCCAGAAACUGGGAGAGACAAGAAGGAUUCUCCCCUAGGCCCUUGCUGACACCUUGAUUUGGGACUUCUGGCUUGAAGAACAGUGCAAAGAUAAAUAGGUGUUGCCAUUGAGUCACCCAUUUGUAGCAGCUUGUUAUGGCAGCCACUGGAAAUUAACACCCACUGCAAGGGGUGAGGGUGUAGGUGGGGAAACCAGCAUGGGAGGCGCUCUGCAAGACACAGCCACCCAGCUGACUCCCAAGUACAUCAGGCCUGCCAUGGUCAGCAUUUGCUAUGUUUACUCACCACCUGGAUUUUUUAAAAAUGUGUCUCCCUGUUUUCAUUUAAAUAAACUUAUUUUAAAAUGCAGUAUUACAUCACUAAGUUAAAUAUAAAACUAGAUUCAUUUCCCAUAAAUAGAAGGGAACCAUGAACAUUAAUUCAAUGAAAACAAAACUUACUCCAUUCUAAUGACAUGUUCUGCUGCCUGCCAAGGUCUCUGAGUCUGUGGCCUCCUCUUUGAGUCUAAAAACAUAAAAUAGGGCUAGUGUCAGAGAGGCGCCCAUGGCGAACUGGCGUCAGAGAGAGCUUCUCCUGCCAUGUAACUCCAUGUCCCUAUACCCGCUAAGGUCAGCAUCACUCCCACUUUGCAGGGCCCACACCUAGACAGCACAGCCCUCAAGGCUAACGUCCUCAAGCCCUGGCUGGCCCAGCCAGAGUAACUCUGCGCAACGCCGGCAUACACAGGGUGGUGUUGGUGCUGUAAAUCCAGCAAAAUUCAGACUGAGGCGUGGGCAACAGAGUUUUCAUGACGGGAUGGGAUGGGGUGGGGGCGGGAUUGGCUGCCCUAGGGAGGUUGGAAGAAGGCGGCUACCUUGUG
rnacentral:lncRNA from 1 species